GCACCCUUAGCUCAGCUGGAUAGAGCGCCGGACUUCGAAUCCGUAGGUCGUAGGUUCGAAUCCUACAGGGUGUA
rnacentral:tRNA from 2 species